rnacentral:rRNA from 1 species
GAUGAACGCUAGCUGGAGGCUUAAUACAUGCAAGUCGAGCGGGAUUGGGUAGCAAUACCCAUGAGAGCGGCGCACGGGUGAGUAACGCGUACACGACCUACCUCUGACAGGGGGAUAGCCCCUGGGAAACUGGGAUUAAUACCGCAUAUUAUUCUGAAUAAUAAAGGUUUGGAAUGAAAGCUGAGGCGGUCAGAGAUGGGUGUGCGUCUGAUUAGCUAGUUGGUAGGGUAACGGCCUACCAAGGCGAUGAUCAGUAGGGGGCGUGAGAGCGUGGUCCCCCACACGGGUACUGAGACACGGACCCGACUCCUACGGGAGGCAGCAGUGGGGAAUCUUGCGCGAAUGGGGCGAAAGCCUUGACGCAGCAACGCCGCGUGGGGGAUGAAGGCUCUCGGGUUGUAAACCCCUUUCAGCAGGGACGAAAUUGACGGUACCUGCAGAAGAAGCCCCGGCUAACUACGUG